GUUCGCUCUCUCUCUGAUGAGUGGCGUCCCCGUGCACCAUCACCCAGCUCGGUUUUUAGUUAAAGCUGAGGUGCAAGUGUUUGUGUUGUAUCAGGCAAGGAAAAAGUACAGGCUCGGGAAGGAGAAAAUGGACCGUGCGAACUCAAUGGAUAAAAGACCCGAAGAACAAAGAAAAAAGAAAAAGACUUGUGGCUGGCGAGUAGUCGGCCUCUCCCCGCCAGGUCGUGACAAAGAGAAACUUCAUGACACUAAGACAGCAGAAAACACGGGGCUGCGACGACGGCAUGGCCAGCGUUACCAAAAGCCAAGCAGAGGAUACCACAGCGGCGGAUGAACCACUGGUACCAACGCCGAGAGCAAGCUAUGACUCAACUCUUCCACAAGGACCUGCGUUCUGUGGGGCAUGGAGCUGAAAUUUCUGUGACAGAUGGAGGGCCACCCGUCACGCUGACAACGAGGAUGACCUCCAGGACUACGUGGUUCGCCUACAAAUGCGGUCUCGUGAAGCCACGGCGACGACGGAACGCGUCUGCGCUGGACUCGGAGCCUCGAGGAGGACCUUGCGUAAAGGGAGUGAAAGUGGCCGUCCGCAUCGCUGCUUCCUUGUGAGGGAUCGUAGGAGCGGGAGAGCAACACAGGAAAUGCAGCGCCAUCGCUAUGCAAAAUCAUCAAUCACAGAAGACAUCACCCGGGCAAAGCUUUCUUCUGAACUUAAGAGAAGAAUGAUAAAGGCCUCCCCCAACCAGUAUCCCCUCCCCCUUCCCGGACAGAAUCUCUCCAAUCGCAUUUGCAUCCUCAAGCAAUGGGAAAUUUCUUGCUCAGCAAAGAUAUUCCACACGCCCGAGGAGUCUUUUCCUCUUUCAUACCUUUCUCCAUCAUAGCGUGAAUAUUUUAGGAAUUGCGGGGCUGCGCCUGCUGGCCUGUUCUCAUGAAUGUUAAGGGAAUAAACUGAUAUUUUUAUGAAGCAUAAUUUGACAAAUUGUAUAUAGAUUUAUCUGAAGCAUUUGAAGUUACGUUUCACCCUUUUACUUGCAAUAAAAAGAUGAUGCAUUAAUUCAGAAAAUCUAAUGAAAAAAUAGUCCUUGACAAGAUAACUUUUCUUUGUUUUGACUUGUUAAAGGGAAGUUUGUUUUAAACUUAAUAAUCUCUAUAACUCUUGAUCUAGUUUCGACAUUAAUAAAUAUGACCAAACUGAA
rnacentral:misc_RNA from 1 species